UGGCGUGACGAGGCCGGCGCCUCUUCUUAUUCCUUCUCCUCUCCUUUCAUUUUCUUCCUUAUUUCUUCCCCAAAAUAAAAUCCCCAAUUUCUAGGGUUUUCAGCCUCCCUCUCCUCUCUGAAUUUCACCCCUCCGGCGAGUCCCGCCACUUUCGCCGCCGUCGCACCGCCGCCCCCUGCCUCAGGUAACACCUUUAUUCUCUCUCUCUCUCUCCCUCUCGAUCUCUCUCUCUCUCUCUCCUGUUCUCGGUUUGUGUGUGUGUGCUGUGUGAGGGUGGCGGCGGCUGAGGGAUGGGGAAAAUGGGGCGGUGCGGAGGCUUCGAUCUAAGUUGUAUUUUGUUAAGUUUUUGUGUGAAUUGUGGAAACUGAAUAUUUUACAGAUGUUCAUUGAAAUGCUUGAGAUUUCAUAUGGAUGUCUUGACAUUCUAUUUUUAUUGAGUUAUCCUUUAAAUUUGUGGGUUAGUUUAGAUGAGAUUCAUGUCAAGAUUAAUGGAAAAUUAUUCUGAUUUUGUUGUGUUAUGGUGCUCCUAAUUUCUUACAUGUAGAUUGAUUGGCUCUCUGUUAUAAUUCCAUCUUUUCCUUUAUGAAAUUGAAAAUUUAUGAUUGGAUUGGAUUGGUGAUGAGGUCUAGGAGGUUUAAUCUGGUUGAUUCUUUUUAUUGGCUACUGGUGUUAGAUUUUAGAAGUUUUGAUUAUCUCUUGUGCUGAUCACUCCAAUUAAUCUGAGGAGAGCUUAUGCUAAAGUAAACUGUAAGCUUACUCACAACCAAAAUACAAAUCUAGAGACAAUUUGAACCUACCAGAAUUCAAUUAUCAGAUACUGGAUACUGCACUUGGUGCUUUUAUUUGAUAACUUCUUUUUAUUUAUGGCAAACCAUUCAAAGACUCGAAGACAGCAAGGUGAUGAAAAACUGGCUUCUGCAUCCGAUUGGAGAAUGUAACUUGCAUCUAUUUGCUCUUGUUUCAUUAUGGAUAUCAAGCAAAAUACAUGAUUCACCUUCUCUGUCUGUUAAAAAUUUCAAAUCCUUGGGAGACAACUUUAUCAAGGAGCAACAUUUCACCAUGGGGGAUAUUUUGGAAGCUGUAAGAUCAUUGUUUCAUUAAUGCUUAUAAGAUCCUUCUCCAUUUUCUAUUAAGCAUGAUGGCUAACAAGAAAUCUGCAGGAGAUAGUGCUAAUGCAGGUAUUGUUUGAUGUGCUAUUUCUUUCUAAUACUAUUUGACUUGUUUUUGUUCUCUGGAUCACUUUCCUGUUUGGUAAAGUAAUCGAGUUUCUUUAAGGUUCUGCAAUUUGGGAUUGGCAUGUCGAAAAUUGCUCCAUUUUGUUGCUUUGAGUAAAUCCUAUUUCAGAUUGAUUCCAUUUGCAUCUUCCUCCAGUUGAUUCCAUUUCUAUAGCGAUUUCUUAUUUUUCCCCUAUUAUCAGGAGUAUGUGGCAGAAGACCGUGAAGCUAACAAGGAUGUGUCCGAACUUGAUCCCAGCCAUGUGACCGAGCUAAGAUGCUAGGCCUCUAUUGAGGCUGUGGCGAAUCCUGAAUGGUUGGUUCAGAGUUUAGUGAGUUCUCUGGAAAAGAAAGUAGAUGAAGGAGAGAAGAAGUAUGAAGAGUCGAACAAGCUAGCUAUGGAGGCAGAGACAGAGAUAAUUAAGCUGAAGACCGAAAUGCAGAGGUUUGUGGUGGAUUAAAUGAGUCGUACGUUGAGCUGAAGAGACUUGUGAAUUCACAAGAAAAGUUGUACCAUAUGGCUAGCUAGUUGCAUAUUUAAUAUGUUUAGUAUUUUUGUAAGGCAUAAUAGUAUAGAUAGAACAGUUGUUGAAUUUUGACUAUA